GACGUAGGGGGCGAGCGUUGUCCGGAUUUACUGGGCGUAAAGCGCACGUAGGCGGAUCGAUCAGUCAGGGGUGAAAUCCCAGAGCUCAACUCUGGAACUGCCUUUGAUACUGUCGAUCUGGAGCAUGGAAGAGGUGAGUGGAAUUCCGAGUGUAGAGGUGAAAUUCGUAGAUAUUCGGAGGAACACCAGUGGCGAAGGCGGCUCACUGGUCCAUUACUGACGCUGAGGUGCGAAAGCGUGGGGAGCAAACAGG
rnacentral:rRNA from 1 species